CCUACGGGGGGCUGCAGUGGGGAAUAUUGGACAAUGGGGGGAACCCUGAUCCAGCCAUUCCGCGUGUGUGAAGAAGGCCCUCGGGUUGUAAAGCACUUUCAGUGAGGAAGAACGCCUGGUGGUUAAUACCCAUCAGGAAAGACAUCACUCACAGAAGAAGCACCGGCUAACUCCGUGCCAGCAGCCGCGGUAAUACGGAGGGUGCGAGCGUUAAUCGGAAUUACUGGGCGUAAAGCGCGCGUAGGUGGCUUGAUAAGCCGGUUGUGAAAGCCCCGGGCUCAACCUGGGAACGGCAUCCGGAACUGUCAAGCUAGAGUGCAGGAGAGGAAGGUAGAAUUCCCGGUGUAGCGGUGAAAUGCGUAGAGAUCGGGAGGAAUACCAGUGGCGAAGGCGGCCUUCUGGUCUGACACUGACACUGAGGUGCGAAAGCGUGGGUAGCAAACAGGAUUAGAUACCCGAGUAGUC
rnacentral:rRNA from 1 species